UAAGGAUGAACCACUUGAAAACGGUGAUUAUUGAAAAUCUGGAGGGAAAUAAACACAUCACUCACAUGGAUUUGCGGGACAAUCAGUUGACUGAUUUGGACCUUAGCUCCUUAUGUAGCUUGGAGCAGCUGCAUUGUGAGCGGAACCAGUUGAGAGAGCUGACACUCAGUGGCUUCUCCCUUCGAAACCUCUACGCCAAUUGGAACAGUGAGUUCUCUAUCCAAUCUCCUGUUUUAGCUCUUUCAGCUCUAGUCUGAGCCUUCUAAGAAGAGUGGCAUCUGUGGUCCUUCUCAGCCACUCUGCAGAAUAGAGUUGUGGCCCCUUGUGCAUUCUAUUGUAACUUUGCCGUUAGCCCUGAAACAAUGGAUAUAGACCUAAAAAAAGACAAGGCUGGGUGCCUUGAAAUUCAUUGUGCAUAUGAAGAGGCACUAGGCUCAGUAUCUUCUGGAGACCUCAGCCAUAGCCAGUGAGAAUUUGACUAUAAAACCACCUC
rnacentral:lncRNA from 1 species